rnacentral:rRNA from 1 species
AUUGAACGCUGGCGGCAUGCUUUACACAUGCAAGUCGAACGGCAGCGCGGGCUUCGGCCUGGCGGCGAGUGGCGAACGGGUGAGUAAUGCAUCGGAACGUGCCCAGUAGUGGGGGAUAGCCCGGCGAAAGCCGGAUUAAUACCGCAUACGACCUGAGGGUGAAAGCGGGGGACCGAAAGGCCUCGCGCUAUUGGAGCGGCCGAUGUCGGAUUAGCUAGUUGGUGGGGUAAAGGCUUACCAAGGCGACGAUCCGUAGCUGGUCUGAGAGGACGACCAGCCACACUGGGACUGAGACACGGCCCAGACUCCUACGGGAGGCGGCAGUGGGGAAUUUUGGACAAUGGGGGCAACCCUGAUCCAGCCAUGCCGCGUGCGGGAAGAAGGCCUUCGGGUUGUAAACCGCUUUUGUUCGGGAAGAAAUCCUCUGGGUUAAUACCCCGGGGGGAUGACGGUACCGGAAGAAUAAGCACCGGCUAACUACGUG